CCGAACCGCCGCACGUGACUAUAGACGACUGGCGAAUACUCUGUUAGAGAUUUUCAUCUGAGAUUUUUCAGAAGAGGAGCAAAAUAAAUUCUGCGAAUAGGGAAAAGUUACAAGUGAACCACGUAGCUGGUUCAAAGUCAUUUGUACGACAUCGUGACGAUAUGAGAGAUUCCGUCACCAGCCAAGAGCUUGAACCAGUAGACCUCUACAGAGGGAUUCACUGUCGGUAGGCGACGGGAUCUUGGGUUCAUCCUAGAGCCAGCGAGAAUUGGGUAAAAAUCUUUGCAUUGUAAAAUUUAAU